rnacentral:rRNA from 1 species
CACGUAGGGGGCGAGCGUUGUCCGGAUUUAUUGGGCGUAAAGAGCUCGUAGGUGGUUCGGUAAGUCAGGUGUGAAACCUCCAGGCUCAACCUGGAGACGCCACUUGAUACUGCUGUGACUGGAGUCCGGUAGGGGAGCGUGGAAUUCCUGGUGUAGCGGUGAAAUGCGCAGAUAUCAGGAGGAACACCAGUGGCGAAGGCGGCUCACUGGACCGGAACUGACGCUGAGGCGCGAAAGCGUGGGGAGCAAACAGG